rnacentral:sRNA from 1 species
GGGUGUCUCCUUCCCUCACCAUCCAUGUGCGUCCCUGCCUAAGCUGCGCGCUCGGUCGAAGAGGACGACCUUCCCCGAUAGUGGAGAGCGCUGUUCUUCGGUCAAGGGUAUAGAGUGGCUGAGCUCCCCUGCUAGAACCUCCGUACAAGCUCUCAAAAUAUAUUCUUUACAUCAUUAUUUAAAUUAUUUUAGGAAUUAUUCAUUUAUUUUAGAAAUUAUCAAGAAAAGAUCGUGUUGGCUU